UACGAAGGGGGCUAGCGUUGCUCGGAAUCACUGGGCGUAAAGGGCGCGUAGGCGGACUUUUAAGUCAGGGGUGAAAUCCUGAGGCUCAACCUCAGAACUGCCUUUGAUACUGAGGGUCUCGAGCACCGGUAGAGGUAAGUGGAACUGCGAGUGUAGAGGUGAAAUUCGUAGAUAUUCGCAAGAACACCAGUGGCGAAGGCGGCUUGCCAGAACGCGCUCGACGGGUGAGGGAGUGAAAGCUGGGGGAGCAAACCG
rnacentral:rRNA from 1 species